ACACUGUUAUCCAAGGGUUUGGCCCACGCUAACAUGACACGAUUCAAAAAGGCAAGCCACGAUUAGAAAAGGCUCCCCGUUUCUUUCUGAAGAACUUCGGAAUAGUUGUUACUGCAGAUUUAAGUGACGUGCCCAGUCCUGGCAGAGAACCAGCCUGCCAGCUCCGAAGCACACGCCUUCCCGACCAUCUGAUUUGCCCGCCGGCAGUGGGCGCGCAGGACCAGCGAACUGACUGAAUGAAUGGUACCAGCCCAGAAGUGCAGAGCCCUGAAGGUGUGCUCUCAAGGCUUGUCAAGACUAACUCUAAGGCUGCCCUGGGGUUGCUGGGAGCCUUAGCAGCCUGCAGGCAGGCCUGGUGUUUACAAUCUGGGAGGACGACGACGUGCCAACGGCGAUGGAUUGAGUAAAUGGCCAUUGAGAGAAGGAGGCCAAUGGGAAGUAGCAAAUGUUUCCAGCCUCUCAGGGGAAAGACAGGAGACUCAUGACAUCAUCUUUUUAAACGAAGCCAGCCCAUUUACCUCUAUCUUUUUCUCAUCUCUCUAGGGCAUGGGCUUCUUGAGGGUGGAGGUGGGAAUCUAUACUCAUUUUAUUUUCCCCUGCUCUCAGCGUAUUACCUGGUCAUGUAUAAUAAAUGUGAGUCAGAAGAAUGAGUGAAUGAAUUUAUUGGGUUUUGCAGCAGUUAAAUGUAUCUAUUAGCUCAAGCCUGCAUUCAGGUCCUAAAGCCCUUCCCAUCUGUGUGAAGUUGGUGGUGUACAGCUUCUUCUCGUCACCCCAUUUCCCUCGUUUAUUAAAUAUGGAAACAAUACCGCAAAGGAUUUCUGUGAAAACUGAAUGAAGGCGGGUGUGGGUAUUGUACAUUCCUCGAAACCACUUGGAAAGCUGAUACAAGUGGGUCGUAAGGUCAGAUCUAGACUAGGUGAUGAAACAAGACCCCGUUUCUUUCUUUUUUCUUUUUCUUUCUUUCCUUUUAAUUAUUUAUUUUUUUGAGAUGAGGAUGUGUGGUGGAGUUAGCAUGGUGUCUGGCACAGAUAAUAAUGUUCUAAUUGCUGUCACCAUUGAUCCCGUAGUUUCUUUCACAUUAACCUAUAAAAAGUUAUAGUUGCUCAAUUUCUCCCACAGGAGAUUUUAUCUCUGAAAGUCUAGGGCAGCAUGAGGAUUCUGAUGCUUGGCUGAGUGGAGGACCAUUGCUCUGUUUCUGUGUGGGUGGGGUCACAUAGAGCGUGCUUGGCCUUUGGGUUCCUUAGAAGCCCAGUUUCAGAGUCUGGGGUGGCCUGUUCAGAGCAGGCAAAUGCUGUGCUAACUUGUUCAAACAUGAGAGGACUUACACUUCUUUCCUGUCAUAUAAUAGUGACCAUGGCUGCUAGCAUGCCAAGUGCUUCCUAGAUGCCCUUGCUACAUCUUUGUGAAUCCCCGUUGGUCGAACCUUUGAACUGUGAGGCCUACUGGGGAGCCCUAACGUCAUCAAGAGGUGCGCUCAAUAAAUCCAGCCUUCACUAAUCAAGAGGGACUGUGGGAUCCACAGCCUCUCCUUCUUCCUGUCCUCGCUUCCUUCAAAACAGCAUUCAGGUUUCCAGGAUAGUUCAUCAAACUGGAUCCUGGUGAGAACAUUCUUGGAAAGCAAGGAGCUGGAAGCAUUAUGUCAUGAGGAGAAAGCCUGGCCUGGCUGGUGAGCCCAUGGGGUACUCACCUCCCCCUAGUCAGACUUCUCGGAUUCUUUCCAGUAUUUGCACCAGCUCCCCAGGGCUGAAUCUACCUCGCAGUGCACUACCACAAUCAAUACGGUGCAAUAUCAGCGAAUCCCACUCUGUAACUGUCCCAGAUUGACUACUAUAUCUGUCUUCAUCACGAUUCCACAGUGUCCAUGCUAGAGGCUCAGAAGCAAAUGUUGAAUUAAAGAAUCUACUCACUGGGCCUUAGUGGUUUGUACACAAUGUCUCUUCUCAAGCUACUUGAAUUUUUAUUAUUUGGGUGGGGGACAUAAUGUAGCCUUUGGGUAGGUAUUUUUUUUUUAAUAAUUUUGGCUCGCCUGGCAUCCUCUGCAUCAGCAGAGAAGUGUCUACAAUGACUUCCGCUGGGGCUGCAUGCUCCCAGUCUAGCAAUGCUUGGCUGCAUUUGGGCUUCCCGGAUUUACUCUUGCUUGUGGAGUGAUACCCCCGAGAAUAUGAUGAUACAGCCUCACAGAAUAUUUCAGUCCACCGUAAAUUACAUGCCAGCUAGACACUGGUGUUUUAUUUAGGUCAACUGUUCAGGGCUCAAUGCCCUUUAAAAAAAAACACAUUUGAAGCAUUUGAUGGAUUCAUUGCUGAGUGCACUAUAAAUAAAUGCAACCUCAAAUUCCAGACAGUGAAAACGAUGUGUGAGGGGCUACAUCAGAGCCAGCUCUGUGAACAGUGACCCUUUCAAGGUGAUAGCCAGAAAAAAAAGGGGGGGAUUGGUUGUUGGGAAUCCAAGGUCAAGUCCCCAGCCCUCCCCGAGACAGGGAUCCGCCUGUCUCCAUGUCUCCCAGUAUGUGCUCUAUUGUCUUCCUCUGUAAUUCGGGGAAAAUCACAUCGCUGACAGUUCUCUCUCUCUCUCCUAGCAAUUUUGGUGUCACGCCAGUUCCUGAAGUUGCCGUGUGUUACCUGGAAACACACACACACACACACACACACACACACACACACACACACACACUCACACACACACUCACCCACUUUCCUCUACACCUCACAAUAUUUCAUAAUCAAGUAAGUCUGACAUACAAAAUCUAACAGAUUUCUUACCCAGGGUGUCUCAGAACCUUCAGGAGGAGGAUAUAGGAGGCCACAGUCAUGUCUUUAGACCACAGAAACCUUGGUUCAGGGGCAUCUCGUGGCCUCAUGUAUCCUUGUGUGUAGUCCCAGAAAAUAUAAAACUAAUUGGUGGCUAGGAUUCCUCGAAGUCCCCAACCUCCAUGACACAUUUCUCUUUUAUGAGAGAGAGAGAGAGAGAGAGAGAGAGAGAGAGAGAGAGAGAGAGAGAGCCCACUUCCCUUCCUCUGUGGCUCUUGCCACAUCUAAUAUUCAGAGAUGUCACCAUUCUGCUGUUUUUCUGGGCCAGAAAGGUGGUGGGAAUAGCCAAGGCCCGAUUUCAUGAAGGGGCUGGAAACUGUCCUGACUUAAAAAUACCGUCUCUCUUUCCCAUACCAAGUCAUUGAGUUUUUAGUUUAGAGCUAUUCAGAUUCUAAGAGAAGAUGAAGUUUUAUAGGGGGAUGGCCAGGCAAAAUAAUCUACUUCAUUCCUAUCAAUUAGGAACAAAAAUGCAGUCCCCAAAGCAUGUUCUAAAUAGUGGCAUUGAGAAGCCAAAAUAGACUGACGCACAGUAGAAUUAGAUGGCCUAUUUCAAGCCCCGCUGUUAUGUUUAUCCUUAUUUGGCUGCUUCUUCCAGAGUUGCAUGACUAUGGUAAUGAGAAUGACCUUGGAUCCUGCAGCUGAUCAUCUCAACUCCAGGAAAGAUUGUGCUUUAAUUCAUUUCAUUGAAAACGUAGCCACAGGCCCAUCAUGCUUUGGGGAGGUACAUGCUUCUAUCUUGUACCUCGCCUGAAUUCCCCAAGUGUUCUUUCUACCCUGUGAUGGAGGCAAUGCACUAUGUUAAAUCCAACCACAUCCUCAGCUUCUGAGGAAAACAACCAGAGGCAGCUUCAGGUACAGAGGUCCUCGGGUCUCAUCACACGUGACCCACUUUGCCCUGGACAAAGCCAAUUGAUCAGAGUCACCACCAGACCCAAAGGCAGUCCCCUGUAACCCGGCAACUCCACCCAAUGGCAACUACAUGCUUUGGGGAUCCCUUAGAUAUGUAAGGUAUUGUCCUGGCUGUGUCUCCUGCCCUGCAGGUCUAGCUGCUCAUCUCUCUCUGAGGGCUUCUGCAGUUGUCCUAUAUGGGCCCCUGCUCAGACCUGCUCUCUCUGCUGGGGUGGUGUGCAUAGGCAUGGCCCCCACAGACUCGUGUGUCUCAGUGCUGGGGUGGUGCACAUAGGCAUGGCUCCCAUAGACUCGUGUGUCUCAGUGCUGGGGUGGUGCGCAUCGGCAUGGCCCCCACAGACUCGUGUGUCUCAGUGCUUGGCCUGCAGGGAGUGGCGUUAUGACGAGGUGUGGAGGACAUGUUGGAGGACAUGUGUCACUAUGGGGGUGGGCUUUGAGGUCUCAUAUGCUCAAGCUAUGCCCACUGUGGCUCACAGUCUCCUUUUGCUGCCUGUGGAUCAAGAUGUAAGAACUCUCAGCU